AACCACAACAACGCUGACACGCACAUCCAGCACGACCAGCACUAGCGCAACGACGACAGCAACACCAACAAGUACAACCCUCGCAACAACAUUGACGCACACCACCAGCACUAGCGCAACGACGACAGCAACACAGACAAUUACGACAACGGCAACAACACUCACAACAACAUUGACGCCCACCGCCAGCACUAGCGCAA
rnacentral:SRP_RNA from 1 species